GUCGUACCUCUCCCGUAUUUUGUUCAUUGAAGAUGGUAAUUUCUGGAACUUUUUUUGUAGGGUCUGACUGCAACUUAUAUUAGCCUUUCGGUAAUUCUAGCAUCCUUAUUGAUGUUUAAAUUAUUGUUGUUUUCUUUCUUGAUGUGAUUGAGAUCUGUCGUUUCCUCAUAAAAUAAUUAGUUGGUGAAUUUGCGAGAAUCUCGCCAUGUCUUAUUGAUUUAUUUUCCAUGAUUUCUUUUUUCCCCAGACCCUCAUUUGAGUCGAUUUGAUCAUAG
rnacentral:lncRNA from 1 species